UCUCUAGGGGCCAGUUUCUCUCGGGCGUCUCCGUGAAGCCUCCGUGAAGAGGCAAACACGAGGGGCUACGUUUACGGGAAGCUUGAAGUCAUAAGGGUGUUCUAGUGGUGAGAGAGUUUGUUUUCUCUAGAAACGCGUUGAAAAAAAAAUCAGCUUACUUUAUGUAAUUCAUCCGAGUAACACUUCCUGCCUCUCCGCCCCGGAGUUGUUCGCCGAAAAGUAGUAUGUAAACAAGAAGUGGACUCUUUUUUUUCCACCCCUGUGUGCCUUGAGCUAGUUUUGCGAGAUGAACACUGUAAACGAAGAAGUUAAGCCAGCAGAUGCUAAACCGGAAUCUGAAAAAUUAUUUCAUUAUUGUGAAGUGAGUAAAUUUCUUGAUGUCUUUGCAGAAUAUAGGCUAAAAUACAGGCUUGUGGUAUUAAAGACUAUGCUUGUAGAAAUUUGUGUGGAACUGACUUGGCUGCAGUGCAGCAAACUUGUAUGUUAGAGAUGCUGUUAAUGUGGAGAAGAACUUGGCCAGCCCCUGUAAGAGCUAGUUGUGUAUGACGUGGUGAAUUCAUUUGUGACAGCUCAAGAAUAAACUGCGGUAUUAUGGUCCUUACUUGCUAGCUUUCAAAUCUGUUAGGUGUUUAUUGCAAUUUUAAAGGCUCUUGCCUCUUUAGAGGAUGAAACUCUGAGUCAUAAUAUGUUUUAUGUCUUUUGUAAAUCAUAUUCUGGUGGGCUUUGUCUGGUGUAUUAAAUAUGUGGGAUAGUAGAUAGAGGGUGUAUAUUGGUAGAGGUGUACCAAUAUACAGGUGUAUAUUGGUAUUUUAGCUGAAGAUAGUAAAUAUCUUUAGAUCUGUAUCUUCAUGUAUUAAUCAUUCUGACUGUAUAUGCAUGUCUGUUAUUCCUAGCAGAGCGCGUAUGACUUCCAGCGUUGUUUCUCUGAUCCCCUUUAAUGUAACAAUGAGCGCAACUGCAGUCAUUCUAGGAUAUAGUUCUGUCUCUGUUCCCUCCUAAGCACUGUGCAAUCAUGUCUUUCUGUUGGCUUUCCAGUGAGGAGAUGUUUAGAAAGCUAAGAAUCCAGACAGUGGAGGGGGGAGUGAAGGAGAGACUCUUAAAAGGUUCAUACCACUUCUUAUUUUUAAAGAUGUAUUCAAGUAUUGUUUACAGGUAUGAUGCAUGCUACUUCUGGUCAUGUUAAUGGUGUGCUGUUAUUCUGAAUUUUGUGUGACUUGUGGUGUUUAAGCAAAUGAAAACCUUGACAGUUCUUGCUGUAAGCGUAGGUUUGUUUCCAGUUCUUACAGAUAUUUUAUAGUUGAUCAGUUAUAGCAAAACUGAUGAUAUGUUUUCAGUUUAUCCUUUCAGGUUUUUAAAGUUCCACGUAUGAGUUCUAUAAGGCCUCAGUGGCACUAUCAUGGUGCAAAGCAUAGAAAGCAUGGACUUGGAGUAGCAAAAACCUAUUCAAAGUCAACUCAGUUGUUGGGGUGUAUCUCUUUUCCCAUAAACUGAGAACACGAGUCCAGACUGUCAUGUAUCAACGAAAAUAGCAGAGUUAUGGGAAGAGACCGAGAACCUGGAGUAUAAUUUGCUCACAGCUGAAGUGGAUAUCUCACUUGAAAGACUCUGAUGUUGCACUAGAAAAGCAGUACUGAUGAAUGUAAUCUUAAACACGAUUUCUGAAGAGAUUACUGCUUCAGGACCGUAAAGCUUUGUUUUGGAGGAAAAAGCAUGGUGUCAAGAGGAAGAAUGAAAUCUGAAGAUAAGCUGCAUUUAUGUGACUGCCAAGUUACUACAUGUGACUACGAGUCCUUCCUCCUCUGAAGGCACAAAUAUCCUGUGUUCUGCAUUGGAUUCAGCAAUUAAAUAUAUCCUGAUCAGCAUUUUGGCUUUCUGAUACAAGAUAAACUAACUUUUUUAGCAUGCCACUCUAUGAUCAGUGUGUGCCAAGCAAGCAUUCUGAUGUGUAUAUAUGAUUUUGGGGUGCUACUUUGUUCAGAGAAAGGAAACUUGGAAGUUCUUUUCCAAAUUCAGACUAGAAUAGAAGAUAAUUCUGAAAUUUUAAUCAUAUACAUGCUGUGAAUGAGCACUACUCCAGCGGCCUUAUCACCUCUCUCUGGGGCUUUCCCCCAUGUAACAGAAUAUAGAGUCUCUGUUAAUUUCACCUCAGGAAUUCAAAAGGAAUCUACUGGGCUGAGUCCAGUGCAGCUGUGUUGUCUCUGAGUAACUGAAAUGACAACAUCUGAAACUGUCCUUAAUUUUGAAAUUUAGUUAUUUUCUUUCUAACAGUCAGUAAGAAUGUGAUUGCAUUACGAAUACUUGUAUAGACCUAAGAUAUGUUUUCAGGACCACUUCAUCGAAUAUUGAAAGGAGAGGAUUAUUUGUUUAAUUAGGUAACUAGUCUCUAAAAAGUAUCCUUACUGAAUAAAAAUCAUUACUUGGAAGGGAUUGCUUGAGGUUAUCUAAUCUUCCUGGUUGAAACAGGACUACUGCUAAUGCUAGAUCAUCGCUUCCCUAUCAAAGUUUUGAAAAUCCCCAAGGCCAGAGAGUUUGCAAGCUAUGUGUAAACCAAUCUGUUGUUGCUCCCCUGUCUUAAAGGAGAACUGUCCUAUCAUCUAAUUGCAGCUCAUUAGCAAAUGUUUCUGGCUACUAUUGUUUUCUUAUGCUGUCAGGCACUGCCCCAAAUUAUUUGACUCAUCUUUAUAACUGCCCUUCUGCCUUGGGCCGCUACUAGAUCACCCCUUAACCUCCACUUCUCCAGAAUAGGCAAGCCCAGCUCCCAUAGUAUCCUCAUAGCCAAACUGAGGACAUACAGUCUAGACAGGUGGACUACAGGAUGAGUAAAAGGUGGUUGCGCUGUCAGGCUCAAAGGGCAGAUGUCAGUGGUUUUAAGUGUGUUGGCCAGUUACUGGUGGUGUUCCUCAGUGGUUGAUUCUGAGGCCGGCACUGUUUAAUAUCUUCAUUAAUGACCUGGAUAAUGUGGUGGAGCAUACAACUGUCAAGUUUGCAGGGGGCAUCAAUUUAGAGAGAACGCAUUAUACGUGGUAUAGGACAAGAAUCCUGAAGUUCACUACAGACAAAUGUGAAGUACUCUGUUUGGGAUUGAGCAACCAUCUGCUGGAUGCAGGCUGGAUACUGAUGGGCUAGGGAGCAAAUCCUCAGUUAGUAACCUGCAGAUUUUGAUGUACAAUAAUAUGAAUAUGAAUCGGCAAUUUGCACUUGCUGUAGCUAGCAUCAUACUAGGCUGCACUAGUGUGAGCAUAGCCAGUAGGUUGAAGGCUUUUUCCUUUCUGCUCAGGACUUAAAAGGCUGCUUCUGAAAUACCAUCCUGCAUACAUAUGAGAUUUGGAUGAGGAAAGAGUCAGCAGAGGACUCACCAGCUAGAAAUAUCAUGAGGAGACUGGAGCAUAUGAUGUGGAAAGUAGCUGGGGGAAACAGUGUUUAAUUAACCUGGAGAAGGCAGUGACCAAGGAAGGGAUCUAAUUGUUGUCUUCUACUACUUAAAGGAUGGCUACAGAGAAGGAGCUACACUUCUUGAAGGAAAAUGUAAAGACUUUUCUCAUCUAAAAUACAGACUGAGUGUCCUGGUGGAUUUCAAGUAUAACAGGCCACACUUCCUAUGGAAAACAGUAUAGAAAGCAUGAAAGAAAGUGCCCAGUCUGGAGUCUGUUAAAAUUGUUUAAGGCUAAUUAUGCUAAUUGUUUGAGGCCACUGAUGUCAAUAUCUCGAGAUGAAUUUCCAUCAGGGGAAAGCAUCCAAAAACACUAUAAGCUGUAUGGAAAAUCUAAAGUGUUUUGAAUAGACUACGAGGAAAGGAUAUACCGACAAUGACCAGGAUGCUGAAACAGUUGGCUUCAUAUUAUCCAGCACUUCAGAAAUUCAAUAUUCAGACAUUAGUCAAUGUGCUAGUAGGAACUAGAGAAAAAGAUUAAGAAGCAACAGCAGCGGAACUGGAAACAUGAACAGAUUCAAGAUUCUCCAUCUCUUGGCUUUCAGGAAAGAGACUGCAUUUAAUUCUGUGUUUGUUUUUGGAAGGGGAAAGGGAGGUAGAGUUUAAUCCUGUAAUAUGUUAAAUUUAGAUGAAACACAAACUUCCACAUAGUAGAGGUUAACAUACUAUUUCGUUUUGGCUUUUUAAAUGUAUUUGUUAUAUCUUAGUAUAUCGCAGAGAAACCUUUUAUUAUUUUUGAAAAUAUGUCAACAUCUGCCAAAAGCUAAUCACCCUUUUAAACCCUCUCCCACACACAAAAAGAAAGUUUUACUUUUAUAUUAUCUAUUUAGGAAGAAUAUUCACUGAAAACAUGGGUCCAUUGCAUGAAAAUAUAGAUGUACUUUUCUUCACACAAAUUUAAGGCCAGUUUAAUGCUUUAUGAUUAGUUGUUGUUUUUAGAAAUGGAUACACUACACUUCUCUUUCACUCACUUUAGCAGAGUGAAAGGACGAUGUCACAGCAAAGCUGUUCUCUGGGCUUAAUGUGAUGUUAUAUGAGAAAAAUAUAAACACUUCUGGUGGAUAGGUAUGUAAUGGGGCAUUUUACUUAUUUUCAGUUUUGUAAUGUACAGAGACACAUGGGAAAUAUAUGCAGACUUUUUAAUCCCGUUGUUCAGAACAAACCUGUUACAAAUUAACUUAAAACCUCAUUUGAGUCACACUAGUAAUCCUGAAGCAACUAAUUGAUUCAUAUGAAGACAGAAAUUCUUCAUUGUUUCUACUGCAAGAGCAUAUUAAGAAAUAUUAGAAUUUACAGGGGAGUCAGAUAAAAUAAUGUUUAAGGAUAAUUUAAUUAAACAAAAUGACUUAGAAAUAUCUGGCAGUUCAUCACGUUUAUCAGUGGUUCAUGCUUAACUCUUCUUUUUCCCCCUGAGCCCUAAGAUGAGGUGACACUGAGUACCUGGCCUUAGACAUCUGCUUUGUAAAGUCACAUACGCCUUACCGUAAGACUAAAGAAAAGGAACUAGACUGAGGCAUAUUACUCCCAAAGUCUGUUUUAAUUUUCAUUGCUAUGUUGUGGACUGUCCUUUUUGCUUCUCACCCACACAUGAAAUACCUUGCUGUCUCUGCAUUAAAUACUUGUGCUAACCUGGGUUUGUCUUCAUGACCUGUCAUAAUAUCUUUGUGUACACUGAAGUAACAUUUGGAUCUUAUUAUGUAAAUUUUAAUACAAAGGUAACAAAGCAAUUGAUUAUAGAGUAUGUAAAUUUGAUUCUCUAAAAUUCUCCUUCUAUAAUUAUUUUUGCUUGUGCAUCAGAAAAGAUCCACUUUCCUUUUUUAUUCCCCUUCACUACUUCCUUUCUUCCUCCUCAUAUUUAUUGAAGGGUUUUAAGUGGUGUCUAACAGCUUGGUCUUAGUAGUUGUGCUAUACACUUCUAUCUAUUGAAUUACCAAUUGGACCUUCUAGUUUAAAGAAAAAAAUAUCUUACUUUCUUCCACAGGUGUCUGACAGUUUGGAAUUAAAAACUCUAUGGGAUUGAUCAGUUACUGUCUAUAUUGAAAAAUUAUCAGCAACUAUGUUUACCAGUUUUUUCACAGAAAGUGUAGUGUAACUAAAAUUGUGAAACUAGAAAAAAAAAAGGUUACCAAAAAGAUAUUCCUUACUUCUACAAUUCUAUCAAUCAGUUAAAGAUAAGACAUUUGAAUGCUGCUUUUUCAGUUGAGGUAAUUGUAGAGAACUCUUUUCCCAUUUCUCAUUCCCUUUGGGGUUGUACUGCUAUUAUUGUAUCUCCGAGUGGCAUAUAUCAGGUGGCUGACCUCUUCCUAAAAUAGAUGCUCUUUCUGCCUCCACGUUCCCAUGUUCUUAUUUUUUGUUCUGGGGAACAGUUCCUAUUCCUGCUUUUUUGCACUGGAUCCUGCACUAGGGAAACACUUGCUGCAUUUUGAAAUAGAGUUGGAAUAAUGACCAAGCUAAGGUAGGAAAUGCUUUUCAGUAUUGGUUUACUGAAGGUUCCAUGGUCUGUAGAUAAGCAUUGAGAGUCUGUAGAUGCCCCUUGUUUCUCUGUAGUUGUUCAGUUCUUACCAAAUUCAGUAAAGUUCUUGAGAUGAUUGUCUAUUGGUUCUUGUAUGUAAGCACUAUUAUCUAGGGAGUUUUUUUUAAGCUGAUGGUAUUUUGUAAUAUGUGCACCAAUCUUCCCUUAUUCCUAAUGUGCAAUUACUACCAACAGUGUAGUGUGUUUUUUCUCAGUUCCUUUCAGACAUUUGGAUGAGCCAAAGUUUGAGCUGCAUCACUGCUUUCUCCUUACUCUCUUUCUAUCUUUCUUCUUUGGAAAUUAAGGGCUUCAGUGUACAAUUUGGGUAGUGAUAUUGGGCUGGAGUUUGCCACUUGGCAGUCCCAAAUUUGACUGGCUAUUCGAUAUAGAUAUCACCUCCCCAACUGAUUUCAGACUUUUUUUUCCUCCUAUGUCCUUGUUCUUAUCAAACAGGUAUAGCCAACUUCUGUAUUAGCUGACUUCAAACAAGCACCUCUGUUAUCCCAGGAACACACUGCUUUGUGGAGUCCAAUUUCUUAGCAUUCAAAUGAAGGGGGGGAAAAAAGAAAAACAGAAGCAUCUUCAGGGUGCAGCUCUGUAAAGGGAUUGUUUGCCCUUGUGCCAGGAAUGAUUUUUUUUAUUACUUUUUAAAAAUUUCUUAUUCCUCCUCAUUCAGUUCAACCCUGCCACCUUUAAAGCAGGAUUCAGCUGAUACUAGGAAAAGGAAAGCAUAAUUCCAGGCACCUGACUCUUUAAAGCUCCAACUUUAAAACAAAACAAAAACAAAAAAAACCACAGACCUCUAGUGUCCCCAAAGGCAGCAGGUAAGAGGACCUCACAGAGAUGAAUAAGAAGAAGAAAAAAAAAAGUAGUAAAAUGGGCCCUAGUUCUGUCAUCCUCCCAGUUAUUUCUUCAACAUACAUGAGCUGAGACCUCUUGCUACUCCUGUUUUCCUGUCUUGGCCCCUUUCCUUGAAUCACCUUCUGGCUACUGCUUAUAUCCAGGGAAACUCAGUGCCAUAUCUACUGCCUCUUGCUCACAUGUAGUAUAGAACUGGAGCAGAAUGAGUCCUCUUCCUGUUCCUGUUUCUUUAGACUUUGGUCCUUCAUCAAGAAAUAAUUUUCAUAAGCUAGGCAUUGAUAGCCUGCAGAGCACCAUUGUUCAAAUGCUUGUCAUCCUUCAGCACUAAUACGACUAUACCACAAGCUUUUACACUGAGCAAGAUUUUUGAGGCUAUACCAGAGCCCUUUGAAAUAAUAUCACUUUUCCUUAUAAAAACCAUUGUUAAAAAUCCAAAGUAGAAAAUACUUUGGGGGAUAAACUGUAAAUUUUCUAGCUAGUAUAAUGAUUCAUAAUUUCUGCAAAAAAGGUUUGGAUACAACAGCCUGUGCCAGUUCUUGUCAGUAUUCCUCAUAUCUCUUCAGUGAUCUCUCAAAAAGUCCGUUGCUUGAUCUGCAGCUGUGGAGCAGACCUCUCCUGCCUAAAACCCCUUCCUUCUUAAAGCUCUUAUUUUCCAGUUGAAUUUCUAGUUACAAAAAGGAUGCUUUUAUUAGAAUAAGUAACUUCCAAAUUAAAAGGGAGGCUAUUUUAUGUUUCUCAGUCUGCAGUAUAUGUGCUUUCACAUCUUGAUCUGUUUUUUUGCAUCAGAAGCAUCUCUGUUUUCCACAGAGAUAGAGGCAUUCCAGUCCAGGGUUCUGCACUAUGGUGCUUCCCCAGCAGUAAGGCUCUUUUAGAAUGUUCUAGCUGUACUUGCUUUACACUAAAGACAGUGAAGGAUGAGACUGACUGAUAGAGGAUGACCUCUUUCACAGGACACAACCUGCCUAAUUUCUCUGGCUCCAGCUUUUUUUAGUUUCACUACCCUGGACCUGUUAAUAGUCUUCGAUGCUCUGGUCAGAUAUGUUAUCCAAAGGGAUGUGAUUUCCUAGUGGGACUCUAAUUUAGUCUUCUUCCCUUUUAAUGGAGAAGGUCUUUUGAGUCCAAGGCUCUUCCUUUAUUGCUUCUGAAAAAAACGUAUUUCGUGACUUCUCAGCUUUCUGGGUGGGUGAGGUGCAGGCUCUAACAGUUGGAUGUUUUUCUUUCUUAUCUAUCUCCAUAAAGACAAAUGAGCUUUCACAAUUCAUCCUUGUUGAAGUGGUUUUGACAUCUGUUUUUCAUUAUUCCUAAACCCCCCCCCCCACCCCCAACACACACACGCAUACCCACUAUCACACAGAAGUAAUCCAUUGCCCUUUGCAUGAUAAAAAUCCCUCUUGGAUGCACAGAAUCUCUUUGGGAGAACUCCUUGUUUUUAUGUGCUUAUGCUACAGAGCCCUUUGGAGACCAUCAGACUGUUUCCAGAUAUUUCAUACUAGAAAACAAUCUUUUAAAAAAAAAAAUGUUAAUCAAACUGUCACUAAGGUCCUGUUUCAUUAGCACUUGAGGACUGCAGUGUUUCAUUAGCACUGAUACCUGCAGUGUUGCCAUGUGGCUGUCUUUACCCUCAUGCUAGGUACUAUACUCUGGCUGGAGGUGCUUAGGAAUGAUGUUGAUUUUUAGGAGUGUUGCCUUUGGUUUGAGGACUGACCCUUCUCUGCAUAAUCUCCUAGAAUGGUUCUUGAUAUCACUCACAGCAUUGGUUUAUGUAUAAGUGCUCCUGUGAAAGACAGCUUAUUUCCCUGUAUCUGUAGUUAAUUAUGCAAUUGGAGACAAAUAGCAGCAUGUGGACUGCCUGCAUGCAACUACCUGGAGUGGGAGGUGGCCUUGGAAAUGCAUCAGUAUUGCAGUGGUUUAAGAAAAAGUCUUUGACUAAAAGCUCUUGCCUAUAGGUACCUUUGUGAACAUAUCCUGAAGAGUAACAGCUUCAGGUAAGUAAUAGUUCUGCUUGAAUAUUUUUUUAAUUGAAUUGGAUAAUGUAUUCCUUAAAUUACUAAAUUAAAAAAAAAAAAAACUUGCUAAUUUCUGUGUGCUUCUUCAAAGUUAUUGUGGGAGAUGGCAUGUGACAGGAAUCAUUAAUUGCUUUUUUUUGCAAUUAAUUUUUCACUGUGUCCCUCACCAGAUGUAGCUGGAGAGAUGAAGGGUAAGCUUUUGAGAACGUUUGACUGUCAACUCAAGGCCACAUCAGAGUAAGUGCUUCAACACAGAAGGAUUAGUUAUUUUAGAUGCAGAGCAGAGGGAACUACAUAUUCAGAGUAAUUAGAUGCCAGGUGUGGGUUUUUUUUUUUUUUUGUAGGACUCAUUGCAGAAGAUGUAUUGGACACAGGUGUUCAGAAAUUCUAUUUGAAGAUGUCCUGAAGAAGCUUUCUACUCUGAUUGUAAGGGAGAAAAGAAAAAGUGGCAGCUAGAAAAUGAAAAGAUUAAAGGCAAGAAUAAAAGCCAAGCCUAGGAACUGAGAGCACUUUGGAAAGUUCUGAAGAAAGAUGAGAAGUUGCUGAGAUACAAGUGACUUUUUGGAAAGUUCUGCUAAUCAAAAGCAAACCCCAAAGUCCAGUUAAGGGGAAAGGAUAAAGCAAGUUAAAAGAGGAUGAAUCACAGAAUAACAUUUAUUCUUCCUGGAUUUUAAUUUCCAAUGUGAAAGCAAAAAUAUCAAGGGCUUGACUGAUCAUCCAGUGACAAAACGAGAGUGUUGCUCUUUUCUAAGGACUCAUGAAAUGAAGAAGUCUACAACACCCCCUGACUGGUGAAGGUGCUGAAAUGCUACUUUGCAUUUGAUUUAUUGAUACUUGUCAAGCCGUGUCUUUUUUAUACAAAUGGCACGUGCAUGGCAACAGAAUUCUGA